AACAGGGUUUCUGAAGGGAUAGACCGGUGGGCGGUGUCGCCGGGUGUCUACCUCCAGGGGUCGUUCGUGAGCCAGAGAAACCCGGACUUAGGAAGGAAGGGGCCUGGCCACAGCCCUUCCGCUGUUGGCUGUGCAUUGCCCUUAUUCCCAGCUCAUUCUCUGUCGUUGAGUCGAGCAAGGAGGGUCAGACAGAACCAGGUCCACCACGUUUGUGUCUUUCCGCCAGGCCUCCAGACCUGUGAUGGGAGGGCUGCCAUGAAGACCUCUGACAUGCCCUGGAGACAUUUUCCCCAUUGUCUUGCAGAUUAACAUUUGGCUCUUCAUUAUGUAAAUUUCUGAAGCGGGCUUCAACUUCUCCUCAGAAAAUGGGAUUUUCUUUUCUAACGCAUUGUCAGGCUGCAAAUUUUCCAAACUUUUGUGCACUGCUUCCCUUAUAAAAUUGAAUGACUUUAACAAUGCCCAAGUCACCUCUUGAAUGCUUUGCUGCUUAGAAAUUUCUUCCACCAGACACUCUAAAUCAUCUCUCUCCAUUUCAGAGUUCCACAAAUCUCUAGGACAGGGGCAAAAUGCUGCCAGUCUCUUUGCUAAAACAUAAGAGUCACCUUUGCUCCAGUUCCCAACAAGUUCCUCAUCUCCAUCUGAGACCACCUCAGCCUGGAUUUCAUUGUCCAUAUCAUUAUCAGCAUUUUGGUCAAAGCCAUUCAACAAGUCUCUAGGAGGUUCCAAACUUUCCCACAUUUUCCUAUCUUCUUCCAAGCCCUCCAAACUGUUCCAAUCUCUGUAUGUUACCCAGUUCCAAAGUCACUUCCACAUUUUCAGGUAUCUUUUCAGCAAUGCCCCCACUCUACUGGUACCAAUUUAAUGUAUUAGUUCAUUUUCACACUGCUGAUAAAGACAUAGCUGAGACUGGGCAAUUUACAAAAGAAAGAGGUUUAGUGGACUUACAGUCCCACAUGGCUGGGGAGGCCUCACAAUCAUGGCUAAAGGCAAGGAGGAACAAGUCACAUCUUACAUGAAUGGCAGCAGGCAAAGAGAGAGCUUGUGCAGGGAAACUCCCCUUAUAAUAUCAUCAGAUCUCAUGAGACUUUUUUCACUAUCAUGAGAACAGCAUGGAAAGACCUGCCCCCAUAAUUCUAUUACCUCCCACCAGGUCUUUUCCACAGCACAUGGGAAUUCAAGAUGAGAUUUGGGUAAGGACACAGCCAAACCAUAUCACAGGUAAUUACAUAGUCAGAAACACAAUUGGACAACCAACAUAUGACAGCAUUUUCAACAUUACUAGUAUUCAAAAAAAUACUAAAUAAAGUAGCAGUAAGAUGUUUAUUUUCACAAAGCAUAUUAUCAGAUAGUUAAAGAGUAAUAGGGUUAUUGAAGGUAUUUCUGAGAUCAAGUCUUUUUGUUGAGUUUAAUGUUGAUGUGCAUGUAAAUUGGUACAGCAUUUGUGGUAGGCAAUUUGGCCCCCUUAUCAACAUUAAAAUGCUUGUGAUCACUUUGAGGUAGUA
rnacentral:lncRNA from 10 species